GGGGCUGAUUCUGGAUUCGACGGGAUUUGCGAAGCCCUAGGAGCAUGCCGAGGGGCGGUUGGCCUCGUAAAAAGCCGCAAAAAAAUAGUCGCAAACGACGAAAACUAAGCUUUAGCAGCUUAAUACCCUGCUUAGAGCCCUCUCUCCCUAGCCUCCG
rnacentral:tmRNA from 1 species